rnacentral:rRNA from 1 species
CCUUAGAGUUUGAUCCUGGCUCAGAACGAACGCUGGGGGCAGGCUUAACACAUGCAAGUCGAACGCCCCGCAAGGGGAGUGGCUUUCGGGGGAGUAACGCAUGGGAACGUACCCUUUACUACGGAAUAACUCAGGGAAACUUGUGCUAAUACCGGAUGUGCCCUUCGGGGGAAAGAUUUAUCGGUAAAGGAUCGGCCCGCGUUGGAUUAGCUAGUUGGUGGGGUAAAGGCCUACCAAGGCGACGAUCCAUAGCUGGUCUGAGAGGAUGAUCAGCCACAUUGGGACUGAGACACGGCCCAAACUCCUACGGGAGGCAGCAGUGGGGAAUAUUGGACAAUGGGCGCAAGCCUGAUCCAGCCAUGCCGCGUGAGUGAUGAAGGCCCUAGGGUUGUAAAGCUCUUUCACCGGUGAAGAUAAUGACGGUAACCGGAGAAGAAGCCCCGGCUAACUUCGUGCCAGCAGCCGCGGUAAUACGAAGGGGGCUAGCGUUGUUCGGAAUUACUGGGCGUAAAGCGCACGUAGGCGGGUAUUUAAGUCAGGGGUGAAAUCCCAGAGCUCAACUCUGGAACUGCCUUUGAUACUGGGUACCUAGAGUAUGGAAGAGGUAAGUGGAAUUCCGAGUGUAGAGGUGAAAUUCGUAGAUAUUAGGAGGAACACCAGUGGCGAAGGCGGCUUACUGGUCCAUUACUGACGCUGAGGUGCGAAAGCGUGGGGAGCAAACAGGAUUAGAUACCCUGGUAGUCCACGCCGUAAACG